UGAAUCUGCGGAAAACCUUUAUUGCCACUAGAGGCAAACUGGUCAUCAUGAGUUCCAAGACAAGUAACCGUUGACGACCAAUCAGGGAGAUUAGAAAAAUAUUUUGGAAAAUGGAAACCAAACUAUUUAGCUUGCUACCUAUCAAAGUGUUCAGAUGGAUACCCCUACCCGUUGUGUUGGAAGAGGCUGCAUCAACUCCCUGCAAAGAUGUUUGUGGUGCAGUCCCUCAUAACGCUUUUAUUGAGUGAUAAAUGAGCGUGUCCUCUUCAAGCUUGAAGCAAUCAGUUACAAGACAAAACAUUUUUUUGGCCUUCAAUCAAUCUGAGGACAGAGAAUGAUGUGUUCAAAGUCAAAGCUUCUUGCACACAUGGCUUUGAAAUGAAAGCUAUCAUAAAUUCAUUUUUGAAUUGCCAUAUUAGGCAUAACACCAUUUUUGGUUAGUUUUCUUCCACGCAAGCCUUAUACACCUGAGUCAGGAACCAAAGACAACUAGUAGACAACUGUCUCUAAAUGAUGAAGUCCCCAGUCUAGAUUGAUUAUCAUAAUUAGUUGAUUAGUUUGAACCAAUUAUGCUGAGGCUUGGCUGGAGUAAAAUCGUGUAUACUGUGCCUUCCUUAAGGAACAGUUGGCCACACAUUUAAAGGGACAUUUAGUAGGCCUAAGUCCCAGUUUAUGCUAGCUACAUCGUUUGUUUAUAUAGCAUUUGUAAAUGGCAGAAACAUUGUUUCUUUGCUGAAAAAUAUAUAGAAAUCUAGUUUCAGUGAGAAGCAUACCAACACCAAGGUAACUUCGUAACAGCUGACUCCGUUUUUUCAAAAGCCGAACCCGCUCAUUAGCUGCUGAGUCUACCUUUUUAAGAUGCCAAAAUAGAAAAUGUUUUCAGUAUCCUAAUUGUGUUUUUCUUUUGUGUUUUCUGAAUGUUUCAGUGCAUGCAUUCAACAAGUUUUGGACGAAAGGGUUCUCAAGUUCACUCAAAAAAGUCAAUAGUUCUGAACAGGCUUUGAAUUUUUUGUUUGAAUUAUUUCAGUGUUAAUGAUCUUUUAAACUUCCAUUGGUUGAAAGCUAUUGCUCAGUUAUCACUUGGCUCAUGUAAAUUCUGUAGUUGCCCCUUUAAACAUCCUACGGUCAAUUUAUGUGGAGACGAUCCAGUCUUUGCUCUUUUCUGCAUUACCAUGCUGAUGACUUCAAGUUGUAUUGGAUUUAUUUGUAUCUGUUAAGACAUUGAAUACGUUGUUUAGUAUAUUUUGUACGUUUAGUAUGUUCAGUUUUCUCUGUGAGAAGCAAGUUCAUUUAAAGUUCUAUGUGAUCUAAUUUGCAUAUUUGUACUGAGUUUGCUGCAAAUUGGCCAAAGGUUUGCCACAACUGUUUGUUAGAAGCCUAUUUUUUCAGUAAGUGUACUGUUCCUUUUGAGAGCCCUGUAAAUGUAAAUAGUUCAUUUUAUCCCCAUAGUUGUCUUUGUUGCUUAUUUUAGAUUGAACUAAAUCCAAUGGCUACUCUACUUCACGGGAUCAAAUGUCUGCUAUUCAAUUCCAAGACGGUUGGAGGGCACAUUUUAGGGAAGUCAAAUAAUGCCUCUUGGCUCUGAUUUGCCUUUAGAGAGCUUACACAAGGGAUGAUGUGAAGUCAUGUGACGCUUGUCGGAAAGCAGAUGUGCAAAGCAGACUUUUAGAAUUCACUACUGGCUGGCCUAUUCUAUAAAGUUGGAUUUUUCCACAGUGUUAGGUCAAUGACAAAUUAUAUGGCAAUCUAUGCAAAAAUACAAUGUUCAUUUAUUAUAAUUUUAGGAGGUUAAAAACAAGUGCUUUCCAUAUUUCACAUAUUUGGUCUUUUUAUGUGGUUGAUGAAAAGAGCUUUGUGGACACAUAGACUAAUCAAUCUGCAAUGUGCAAUACUGUUGAAUUAAUGACUAAAAGAAAGUGUCCAGUGUCCAAUGGAAAACAUUCAUAUUACAAAACUGUGAAAGAUUUUUUUUAAAUUAAAAAGCAUUAUAUUGGUUUGCUACAAUCUGUC